rnacentral:rRNA from 1 species
GGUUCCUUAGAUCGUACAUGCUACAUGGAUAACUGUAGUAAUUCUAGAGCUAAUACAUGCCACUAUGCCCUGACCCGAAAGGGAACGGGUGGAUUUAUUAGAACAGAACCAACCGGGAGCGGCUUCGGUCGUUCCUGUUGCACUCUGUGAUGACUCUGGAUAACUUUACUGAUCGCAGUCGGCCUUGUGUCGGCGACGGAUCUUUCAAAUGUCUGCCCUAUCAACUUUCGAUGGUAGGUGAUCUGCCUACCAUGGUGAUAACGGGUAACGGGGAAUCAGGGUUCGAUUCCGGAGAGGGAGCCUGAGAAACGGCUACCACAUCCAAGGAAGGCAGCAGGCGCGAAAAUUACCCACUCCCGGCACGGGGAGGUAGUGACGAAAAAUACGAAUACGGGACUCACUCGAGGCUCCGUAAUUCGAAUGAGUACAAUCUAAAUCCUUUAACGAGGACCAAUUGGAGGGCAAGUCUGGUGCCAGCAGCCGCGGUAACUCCAGCUCCAAAAGCGUAUAUUAAAGUUGCUGCAGUUAAAAAGCUCGUAGUUGGAUCUGGGUCGUGCGUUCACGUGUCGUUGCGUGGUUCUGAUUUCGGUCAGUUCUAUGUGAUGAUGAGGUGGUCGUGCAGCCUUUCAGCCGUGUCUGCGUGAGCAGGUGUUGGCUAGUCGGUGGGCUUGCUUGCUGGCUAGUUGGCAUGUUUC